rnacentral:rRNA from 1 species
AGACCCGAAACCCGGUGAUCUAGCCAUGGGCAGGUUGAAGGUUGGGUAACACUAACUGGAGGACCGAACCGACUAAUGUUGAAAAAUUAGCGGAUGACCUGUGGCUGGGGGUGAAAGGCCAAUCAAACCGGGAGAUAGCUGGUUCUCCCCGAAAGCUAUUUAGGUAGCGCCUCGUGAACUCAUCUCCGGGGGUAGAGCACUGUUUCGGCUAGGGGGCCAUCCCGGCUUACCAACCCGAUGCAAACUGCGAAUACCGGAGAAUGUUAUCACGGGAGACACACGGCGGGUGCUAACGUCCGUCGUGAAGAGGGAAACAACCCAGACCGCCAGCUAAGGUCCCAAAGUCAUGGUUAAGUGGGAAACGAUGUGGGAAGGCCCAGACAGCCAGGAUGUUGGCUUAGAAGCAGCCAUCAUUUAAAGAAAGCGUAAUAGCUCACUGGUCGAGUCGGCCUGCGCGGAAGAUGUAACGGGGCUAAACCAUGCACCGAAGCUGCGGCAGCGACACUUUAGUG